AGGGAAGUAGGAACUUAAUAUUCAUUAAGUCAUUUGACAUUCUUAACAAUGUGCAGAAGAUCAUGAUUUGUGCAGAGUUCAAAAUAGAUAACAAAUGCCUUCUUCUGUGGGAAAAACAUGAACAUCAAUGUGUCUAAAGGGCUAUUCAAUACAUGUUUUGUGUGCAUCAUUAUUUGUAUGCUUUAUAAUAAUCCUCAGAGUUAGGCCCAUUUUAUAGAUGAAAAGACAGAGCCUCAAAUGUAACUUAGCCGAGGACUUACAUACCUGGUAAGUUGCAGAACUGGUAUGUGCACCCAAUUAUCUCAGGAUCUAAAGCCCACAUGCUUUUGUCACACUACACUGUCUUUCUUUUGAGAUUUAUAAUCUAUUAUCAAGGAGGGAGAACUUAUAUAAAGUUCAGAGAAGGUAUAUACACUUAUACACACACACACAUAUAUAUAAAUUUCAAAGAAGGUGGAGAUGAGUACAACAUAGACAAAUGCAAUUGAAGAAGUUUUUGAUUCUUAUGAGUAUUAUACAUAUUUUAGGGGAUCUGUGUUCUUUUCAAUGUCUAUGAAUUUGACCAUCUUUUCUUCUCACAUUCUUCCCCAUCCAUUCACCAGUGACUUCGCUCUUCUGUGAAGGGUGAGAUAGAAACAGCUACUUUUCUCUAACAGCAUGAUUUACCUAAUUGGUUAUCUAAUUUAUCUAAUUGGUGUGAUAGCAAAAGAACGAAAACUAUUGGCUUGCAAUAGGCAGAUUAAGAUGUGAAAUGCUUGUGUCACUGGUUGCCCAAUGACUUUGCCCUUCAGUGGGUGAAAAGUGAGGAGUGAGAGGAGGAAGAAUGAGAGGCACAUUUUUAUUCUUGGGUCAAAGGAAAUGCUCUAAUCCAGUUUUAAUGAAAUUUCUGUUUUAUCACUCUCUGACUUUUGAGUUCAUUUAUCAAUUUGUUAAUAACACAGACAGAAGAAAUAUGUGAUUCUUUUGUAACAGGGUAGUCCAACAAUGAACAGCUUUGGGAAGGAUCUGGCUUCCCUGGGGAAAGUGUUGCUUCCUUAAAGAAUGCUCCCUGUCUAGUAAACAAUUGUAACUUGGUAGUCACUCUCAAACUAUCAAUCUAACAAGUAAACUCAUAUUUUUCUACUGUAUGCUGGUGGAUAUGAAUAAUCAAGAAGGAGACAUAGAUGCUGGACUUUGCCCCUAGGAGAGAAAGAUUCAUUUAUGACCUGCUUUUUUUUUUUUUUGGAAAAGCAGAAGAAACCCAAAUUAUAAUCCAUAAGGUAUUCACCUGAGCACAUGCUGGCUUCAUGCUUUCAGGAAUGAAAUGCCCAACUCACCGGAUCAACUUGGGUCAGAGAUACUGAUAAACCUCUCAUGCCUUGAAAUUGUAAUGGAAUGCAAGUUCAGCCACUUGCUGCUUGAGAAGCCGAAUACACAAGAGAUGGAAAAAGAGGGUGCUGGCAGAAGGAUCCCUGGUUGGGCAGGGACAUGCCAGUAUGUCCAGAGGAGUUCCCUGCCUGCCAGGAAUCUCAGCAGACACAGUGAUGUGAAAGAGCAAGACAAAAUGCCAGAUAGAGACCUACUUUAAACAGUACUUAGAAAUAAAAAUCAUAAGAAAUGUUGAACCAUGCAGUGAUGAGAAUCACUUUUAUACCACCCAAAAUUCCUUUUCCUGAAAUCUCUAUCUGCUUGAUGAUACUGUCCACAUUUAAAAUUUUUAAAUAUUUUACAAAGUACUUUCAUAAAAUAGCCAAACGAUCCUGAAAUCUAUCCUUCUCUUACCAUCAUUGGUUUUCCUAAGGCUUUGCUAUCCUCUACUUCCAUUCUUGAUUCUCCUGUUUUCAUUUUUAAGUCAUUUUCUUUGGCCUUCUGCUCUUCCUGUUUUUCACAACUUUAAUUAUUGACAAUGAUUUCUGAGUCUCCCCUGAGCUCUGGUGUCACAUACUUGACAAAAAGUACAGUUAAAAACUUCUUGAAUGAAUGAGUCACUCUCCAAUUGCCUGAUGAAAAUACCUACUUGGAGGUAUUUCAUCACCUCAAAACCUGAAAACAACCUAUUGUCCUUAAAAUAACUACCUUUUCUGAGAAUUUCUGUUAAUGAUAGUGAGAACCAACAUUUAUUGAGUGAUUAUCACAUGCCAGGCACUUCACAAUAUGUUAUCUACUUCUCACAACUAUCCUAUGAAAUAGAUGGUAUAAUGAAGAAAUCAAGGACAAAAGCAGUGAGCAUGCUGAGGAAUAGAGAUAUGAACCCAGGCCAUCUAACUCAAACCAGUGCCUCUCCCAUCACACGUCAGGCUUAUCUGUUUAAGUCCCUUAACCACACUCAGUUCCAGUGGUUUUAACCUGUCAGGUAGAGGCCCAAAUAAUGACGAAUGAAGCCAGAAAAAAUAGGACCCAAACUGACAGGUUAUUAGGGAUGAACAAAAAGAAUUGAAAACUCAGUAAAAUCCAAGAAAAUACAUUCAUAACCAAAAAUAUAAAGAAUUAAAGAGAUUUUUGAAAUAGAGUCAAGAUUUGCUUAUUUGUUUGAAGCAAGUUC